GCUUUCGUGCUGUAGUAGUCAGCACGCUCGGUGCAUAUUCGAGAGGUCCCCGGUUCGAGUCCCGGCGAGGGCA
rfam:Stegodyphus mimosarum contig68265, whole genome shotgun sequence.